rnacentral:rRNA from 1 species
AACGAACGCUUGCUGCAUGCUUUAUACAUGCAAGUCGAACGAAGGCCCUAGCUUGCUAGGUGUCCUUAGUGGCGCACGGGUGAGUAACACGUGGGAACAUACCUCAUAGUACGGAAUAACUGCGGGAAACUGUAGCUAAUACCGUAUAUUCCAGAAAUGGGAAAGAUUUAUCGCUAUGAGAUUGGCCCGCGCAAGAUUAGCUUGUUGGUAAGGUAAUGGCUUACCAAGGCUCCGAUCUUUAGCUGGUUUGAGAGGAUGAUCAGCCACACUGGGACUGAGACACGGCCCAG